rnacentral:rRNA from 1 species
CAGGCCUAACACAUGCAAGUCGAGGGGCAGCAGGACUGUAGCAAAUACAGUUGCUGGCGACCGGCAAACGGGUGCGGAACACGUACGCAAACUUACCCAAAACUGGUGAAUAGCCCUCCGAAAGGGAGGAUUAAUACACCGUAACUUAAUGAGGUGGCAUCACUUUAUUAAUAUAGCUCCGGCGGUUUUGGAUGGGCGUGCGCCUGAUUAGGUAGUUGGUGUGGGUAACGGCCCACCAAGCCUACGAUCAGUAACUGGUGUGAGAGCACGACCAGUCACACGGGCACUGAGACACGGGCCCGACUCCUACGGGAGGCAGCAGUAAGGAAUAUUGGUCAAUGGACGCAAGUCUGAACCAGCCAUGCCGCGUGAAGGAUGAAGGUCCUCUGGAUUGUAAACUUCUUUUAUAGGGGACGAACCUCUUUUUCUAAAGAGACUGACGGUACCCUAGGAAUAAGCACCGGCUAACUCCGUGCCAGCAGCCGCGGUAAUACGGAGGGUGCAAGCGUUAUCCGGAUUCACUGGGUUUAAAGGGUGCGUAGGAGGGCAGGUAAGUCAGUGGUGAAAUCUUGGGGCUUAACCCCGAAACUGCCGUUGAUACUAUCUGUCUUGAAUCCCGUGGAGAUGAGCGGAAUAUGUCAUGUAGCGGUGAAAUGCUUAGAUAUGACAUAGAACACCAAUUGCGAAGGCAGCUCGUUACACGAAGAUUGACUCUGAGGCACGAAAGCGUGGGGAUCAAACAGGAUUAGAUACCCUGGUAGUCCACGCCCUAAACGAUGGAUACUCGACAUACGCGAUACACAGUGUGUGUCUGAGCGAAAGCAUUAAGUAUCCCACCUGGGAAGUACGACCGCAAGGUUGAAACUCAAAGGAAUUGACGG